rnacentral:ncRNA from 18 species
ACAAACCUGAGCCAUUAUGCUUCCAGCUGUAGGGAAACCGGUUCAAAUCCGGUGCUGCCCCGCAACUGUGAAGGGGGACUUGCAACGCAUGGUGCCACUGUCCGCAGGAUGGGAAGGCGCGUUGAAGGGAUGAUCCCUGAGCCAGGAAACCUGGCUGGAAGCUGCAAUCACUC